UGCAAAUGUUUUUCUUAUGGUAACAAAAAAGUUUCAAUAGGGAAUGCCGCGCACAUCGGCAACAGUACCCGCUGCUGUGAUUUCCAAAACUCGGGACAUGCAAAUGCAGCCACUGCCUCGAACAGGUGGGAAGGCGUCUGCAGAGAGGAAUCAGUCAGAAGACCUGCCACGGAAAAACAGAAUUUA
rnacentral:ncRNA from 20 species